CCGGUAGCUCAGCUGGUAGAGCAACGGACUGAAAAUCCGUGUGUCGCCGGUUCAAGCCCGGCUUGGGC
rnacentral:tRNA from 1 species